AUGGCGCCAUCAGUGGCCUGCUCCUUCUUCUUCGACAACGAGCUGAUCGGCGAGCCCGGCAUGCCGGCGAUGGACGCGUGCGCGCUCUGCGCCAAGCCACUGGCGCGUGACCGCGACGUCUUCAUGUACAGAGGGGACACGCCCUUCUGCAGCGAGGAGUGCCGCCACGAGCAGAUGCACCUCGAUGCCGUCUGCGCCAAGCAGGCCACCCGGAGGCAGCAAAGAUUCUCGGCGGAGACGGAGUCCAACCGUCACCGUGGGCAGAGGCAGUCCAGGAAGGUGUCGGUCGCGAGCUAA
rnacentral:rRNA from 1 species